rnacentral:rRNA from 1 species
GAUGAACGCUAGCGGCAGGCCUAAUACAUGCAAGUCGAACGGUGUAGCAAUACACAGUGGCGCACGGGUGCGUAACACGUAUGCCACCUACCUUACAUUGGGGGAUAGCCUUUCGAAAGGGAGAUUAAUACCGCAUAAGACAGUAACUAGGCAUCUAGUAGCUGUUAAAGAUUUAUCGAUGUAAGCUGGGCAUGCGUCCAAUUAGUUAGUUGGCGAGGUACUGGCUCACCAAGACGAUGAUUGGUGGGGGAACUGAGAGGUCAAUCCCCCACACUUGCACUGAGAUACGGGCCAGACUCCUACGGGAGGCAGCAGUGGGGAAUUUUGGACAAUGGGCGCAAGCCUGAUCCAGCCAUGCCGCGUGUCUGAAGAAGGCCUUCGGGUUGUAAAGGACUUUUGUCCGGGAGCAAAUACCCAGUGCUAAUAACGCUGGGGGCUGAGAGUACCGGAAGAAUAAGCACCGGCUAACUACGUGCCAGCCGCCGCAGUAAGAC